rnacentral:rRNA from 1 species
GCCUGCGGAGGGAUCAUURCUGAGUUACCGCUCUAUAACCCUUUGUGAACGUACCUAACCGUUGCUUCGGCGGGCAGGGGAAGCCUCUCGCGGGCCUCCCCUCCCGGCGCCGGCCCCCACCACGGGGACGGGGCGCCCGCCGGAGGAAACCAAACUCUAUUUACACGACGUCUCUUCUGAGUGGCACAAGCAAAUAAUUAAAACUUUUAACAACGGAUCUCUUGGUUCUGGCAUCGAUGAAGAACGCAGCGAAAUGCGAUAAGUAAUGUGAAUUGCAGAAUUCAGUGAAUCAUCGAAUCUUUGAACGCACAUUGCGCUCGCCAGCAUUCUGGCGAGCAUGCCUGUUCGAGCGUCAUUUCAACCCUCAAGCACCGCUUGGUUUUGGGGCCCCACGGCCGACGUGGGCCCUUAAAGGUAGUGGCGGACCCUCCCGGAGCCUCCUUUGCGUAGUAACUAACGUCUCGCACUGGGAUCCGGAGGGACUCUUGCCGUUAAACCCCCAAAUUCUUUACAGGUUGACCUCGGAUCAGGUAGGAAURCCCGCUGAACUUAAGCAUAUCAUAAACCGGGAGAGGA